UUGCUCUAAAUCACUUAUACAAGACGUAAUCCUUACCGUAGAAGCCAUCGAUAAAGGCUCGAUGACUGAAACUAAGGGAACAUAAUCACUGAGGACACACUAACAUGACUGAACAAGCAAAAAAAAAGCAUAAAUUUAAAAAAUGAACAAAACAUCAUUUCACUAAUAAUGAUCUUUCUACAGAAGGAAAAGAAAAGGAAAAUUAUAAGACAUCUCACUCGCC
rnacentral:lncRNA from 1 species